UCUUAUUUCUGUCCUUUAAAACAUGGUGUCA
rnacentral:piRNA from 1 species